CUGUGGGGCUGCUGCUGGUCCCUGGCACAGCUGUGGGGCGAGGCCAGGCCGCUCAUGACCGGCUGAGCAGAAGGGAGAGGCUGGGCUCUUCCCUGACCUCCGCCUCCUGCCGCUGUCACGUGGUCCGCUACUCAGAAUCCAGCUGCUUGCUCACAAGCCCUGGCCAGGGAGGGCACCCACUGCCUCCUGGCCACACUCCUGUCCUCAGCCCGACCCUAGCCUUUUAAGGCCUGUCUCCUCCUCUGAUGGGGGAUGGGUGGUUUGUCCUCGUCCCCAGUGGGUAUGGUGGAUCGGUGUCCCUGGGGUCGAUGGCAGGGAAGUAGAAAGUUCCAGCUUAUCUGUGGGGCUCGGGGGGCUGUGCUGGCCUCACCCCCACAAGCCCCCUCUCCCUGCUGGGGUGCACUGGGGCAGGCUAGAGGGCCGAGCUCGGCCUUGCCCCUUGGGGUUUGGUCAGGAGGGCCUGCUGGGAUGGCUUGUGCUGCUGGCUUAGAUAUCAGAGCUGGGCCCAGGGGGAGGAAGCCUGGCAAACAGUCAGUGGUCUGGGGACAUGGGGGAUGUGGGGGACACUAGGCAAGGAGCCAUUACUGUGAUGGAGGCAGUGACAAUGGGGAGGGGGACCCACACAUCUGAGGAAGACCCAGGGUGGGCCCUCGUUCCAUCCUGAAGGUUUGUGGAGACACCCACCCCCACCCCCAGCCCACCACUCUCUAUCCUUGUCCCUGGAGCCCAGCACCCUCCCGCCAAGCUCCCGCCUCCGCCUCCCCCACCCCACCCAAGCAAGACCACCUUUCUUCACAGUCACUAUUUAUUCUUUGUUCCUUCUUUUUGUAAGAAACAGU